GUGAUCCUCUUUUCCUUUGUGUUCACCAGAUGUGAGUGUACUGGGGACUCCCAGCCAGCUUCCCCAGUACCACCAGACAACAUGCCCCCAGUAUGAGUCCAGAGAUCAGACAGCCAACACCCAGCUUCAAGCCCUUUUAGCACGAACUGUUGGAACUUGUGAAUCGAAGUCCAGGAAACCCUGCCACUGCACCAGAUCCCAGUGCCUCAAACUCUACUGUGAGUGUUUUGCCAAUGGAGUGAUGUGCAGCAACUGUGACUGCUCUAACUGCCACAACAAUGCGGAGCAUGAAAUGAAGCGUCACAAGGCAAUUAAGUCAUGUUUAGGUCGGAACCCAGAUGCCUUCAGGUCUAAGAUUGCUGGUGGGAAGUCAAGAGAUGUCAAAGGUUGGCACAACAAAGGCUGCAACUGUAAACGCUCCGGCUGCCUUAAGAACUACUGCGAGUGCUAUGAGGCCAACAUCAUGUGUACCUCCAGCUGUAAAUGUGUUGGCUGUAGAAACUACGAUGACGGCUCAGAAACAGGCCUCAAAGAGAAGACUGUCAAU